CCAACCUCCGUUCCAGCUUCUGCCCAUGACGCUCCUCUCUGCCUCUCCCGCUCUCCUCCUUCCUGCCAAAUGUCAGCUGCCCUUUGAGACACACAGCACAUCUUUAAGUGGAUUCACAGCUGUCCGUGAAGACAGGUGCGCUGUCAUCGAGACGGGAAACGACACGUGGCCCACGCCCACUCAUUUGCAGUGUCUCACUAGGGGCGUCCUGGCCCUGUGCGCCUAAGCACACACGACAGACCCGUGAGAGGACGGGAGAAGAGGAAACCUCAAGACUGAGCGAGUGCUUAGCCCUGCACCAGAGGUUUGCAUUUAUUAUCUAUCGUCACCGUCACUGAGGUUCAGAAACUUUAAGGGACUUGUCGGAGACCACGGCCAUUAAGCGGCAAGUGGAGAAGUGAACAUGGACGUGUCUGACUCUAACAUCUAUGGACUUUCCACCCAAAUCCUCACCCUCGGCAGGAAGGUGGGGCUUAGCACUCAGAACGGGGGGCCUGGCAGGCCCAGCUUUCCUCUACUUGAAGAGCAGAAGGGGGUGACGUAUUCAUUAAAGGUCGGAGGACGCCAUGAUUUAAAAAUCGGGGUGAGCACUAACCAGAGGAGAAGGGAGUGCGAGGGACUUAACUAGAUCCACAGAAAUCCAGGCAGAGCCUCCCUUUCCGUCCUACCUGGGGCUGGCGCGGGAGCUGAAUCAUUGCCUCAAUGAGCAGAAAUAAACCCUCCAAGGAGAGGACACCAGUGGGAGACUCCACACUUGUGCCCAGCAGUCCAAAGCGAUGGUGUUUCCUAGUCAAACAUUCUUAUUUCUGUGGCCCAACCAGGCUCCACCGAUUGGCCCCUACCAGGCAGCCUGAUCACAUUUCCCAGCUCUCCCCACAUUCACUAAGUCUAGCCUCACUGUCUUUGUUUUGUGUUCUUCAAACCACCAAGCUUGCUUCUGCCACAGGGCCUUUGCACAUGCUCUUCUUUCUGCUGGAAAGUUUCCCCCAGAUGUCCCCACGGCUGGUUCCUUCCUCUCAUUCACAUGUCACUCAGUUUACACAUCCCUGCCUUAGUGAGGCCUUCCUUGACCACCUACUCCACUGUCCCAUCAUCUUACUCUGCUUUCUUUAUUGCAUUCUAUUAGCACCUGGCAUUUUCUUAUUUAGUUGUUUGGUAUUGCCUGUCUCCCCUCAACUACAUUCUUGCCCCUCUGGAGAAUAAGAAUCAGAUGGUCUUGUGCCCUGCUAUAUCCCAGAGCCUGGCGCAAACCUGGUGCAUACAAGGAGCCCCAUCAAUGCUCAGUGAGUGAAUAAAUGCCCAACAAGCUCAAGACACUGCAACGGAAGCAGACAGGUGGGUGGGGCUUCACCAGCUGAAGUGUGGUCCAGCAGAGAACCCUGACUCCUGGGGGGACACAAACAACAACAACCACACAACAGAGAGCUGUGGGUGAGGCCUCUUCCCCUGCACAGUCAGAGCUGCCUUGUGGCCGGAGCCGGUCAUGGGUGUCAUGAGUGGACAGUGACUGUUGCAGCACUUCCAGAAGCUGAUUGAGAUUUUCCUUUGGGGGGGGGGGGCGCCUCUGUCUCAUCUUUUCCCAUGUUCUGUUGUGAAUGACACAGGUGUAGGUUCCAGAAGAGAAAGAGAGGUGCCGCUCACUCUCCCAGGGCGAUGUCUGUGCUGGUCCUGCCUGAGGCCGGGCUAAGCUGCCAGGCUCUGGUCAAUUCGCCACUCGCGCUCAACAUCCACACAGCCCUGGCCUUGCCGUCUGCUGGGGGCCCGAGGCAGGUGGCUUUGUUUAGAGGGCUCUCUCCGUUCCCAAGCCCUCCGCCCCGAGCCACGCACGGGCCGGGGCCAAAGAAGAAUCCCGCUCCGGAGCUCGGCCCCCAGGAGCCUGCGGCCCAGGGAGACGGGUCUCCAGGGCCUGAGUCGACUCUGGGGUUUACACAAACGGAUCUACCCUUGUUCUCGCCCUGACGGGGGACCUAGACUGUGGAGGAGGCAUGCUGGGCCCCGAAUUCCACCCCACGCAGACUGCACUGCCUCGAGGAACGGGAAUUGUCUGCGCUGGAAUCGUGACUCCUAGACGGGUGACCUGGAUCCGAAUCUCUGAAUUUCCACGUCCUCAUCUGUAAGAUGAAGGCUGGUGUCCUUUCCUCCCUCAUGCCUUUGGCCAACGCUGAUGGAGCAUCCGCCCUGUCUAGGGCACUGUGCUCGGGGUGGCGCCUUCACCUGGAGAAUCUUGCGAGAAAUACAGAGACCUCCGCUAGGUGAGUGAGUGAUUUCACCCCCACAGCCUCUGUUUCCCAAAGUGAACGAAAGGGUCUAAUGCCCCACUUCUCAGGCCGGCUUGGAGUAUUUAAAAAGAAACUGUAUCCAACUCUGGAGAAUUGCUUUCGGGCAAAAUAAAGUAACAAACAAAAAUAAAA